GUCCGGAACGAAACGGAUGACGUGAAUAUCGUCGUCUACUGACGGUACCGGAAGGAAUAAGCACCGGCUAACUACGUGCCAGCAGCCGCGGUAAUACGUAGGGUGCGAGCGUUAAUCGGAAUUACUGGGCGUAAAGCGUGCGCAGGCGGUUUUGUAAGCCAGAUGUGAAAUCCCCGGGCUUAACCUGGGAAUGGCAUUUGGGACUGCAAGGCUGGAGUUUGGCAGAGGAGACUGGAAUUCCCGGUGUAGCAGUGAAAUGCGUAGAUAUCGGGAGGAAUACCGAUGGCGAAGGCAGGUCUCUGGGCUAUAACUGACGCUCAUGCACGAAAGCGUGGGGAGCAAACAGGAUUAGAUACCCUGGUAGUCCACGCCCUAAACGAUGUCGACUGGUUGUUGGGGGUUUGACACUCUCAGUAACGAAGCUAACGCGUGAAGUCGACCGCCUGGGGAGUACGGCCGCAAGGUUA
rnacentral:rRNA from 1 species